rnacentral:misc_RNA from 1 species
AACGCAUCUUGCGCUCCUUGGCAUUCCGAGGAGCACGCCUGUUUGAGUGUCAUUAAAAUUCCUCAAACCUCCAAUCUUGCCCGGUUGGUUGGUUUGGAUCGUUGGAGGCUUGCAGGCUCACUUUGAAAGGGCCUGCUCCUCUGAAAUGCAUUAGCAGCGGACGCGGCGUUGUGCACCAGUCGUUGGCAUGAUAAAAUUCUCUUGCUUUGUGCCAUUGGACAUGACAAGCCCCUACCCGUGCUUCGAAUCUGAACACCCAUAUUUUUCUGGGUGUCCCUUGACCAGUUUGACCUCAAAUCAGGUGGGACUACCCGCUGAACUUAA